GCUGGGCGUGGUGGUGCAUGCCUGUAGUCCCAGCUACUCAGGAGGCUGAGGCAGGAGAAUCGCUUGAACCUGGGAGGCAGAGGUUGCAGUGAGAUGAGAUUCCGCCACUGCACUCCAGCCUGGGUGACAGAGUGAGACUCUGUCUCAA
rnacentral:SRP_RNA from 2 species